AGCAACUAUCAGACGUAUCUGGGACUCUAAAACGGUUAAUGUAAAGUAUGCAGUAUUUAUUUUUAGGCUUUUUCUGACUAAUACCUUAGUGGUGGUAACGUAAUAUCUUUUCUCUUCCGGUUUAUUGCUGUUUCAAUGAAUUGUGUGCACCAGUUUUCUCGCUUCCGCAGCAGACAAAGCCAUUUGUACACCAGAAAUAAAUGAGAAUACACCAGAGAAACUGUUUACAUGUUUUUACAUUUUCUGAAUACACCAUGUAACAUUUCAAGCAAUGGAAGCAAAAGAAUUAAUGCAGAAACCCACUUUACCAUUGGAAGGUUCCGAAAAAGGCCCAAAAUGAUAAUACCACACGACGUUCGGAGCGCUCGGAGUGCACACCUCAAACUUUAAACGCUUUUUUCUGAAAACACACUUUUUUAAACUGGCGGGCAUGAUUCCGGUCGAACUACUCAACCGAUUUGCUUAAUUUUUUUUUUAAUGUUCACAAAACACCUAGUUAUCGUCCCUAUUAGAUUCAUAAUUUUGUAUAAUUUAUUGACUAUAUUAUGACAAAAUGUAUGUAAAAAAAAACAUGGAAAAAAUUAAAAAAAAAACGUUAAUUACUUUUUUAUUUAUUAACAUUUUCUCAUGAUUCUAGUAGGGACGAUAACAAUUCUAACGUAUAUUUUAAGAAUAAAUUGGGUUUUUGUGUUUCAGAUGAUCCAAACAUGAGAAAUCGUUUCCACCAGUGAAAAAAUGCAUCUCAUUCACCCAGCUAUUUCUCCAACAGAUGUCAUCAAAAAAUUCCGAAAAAAUUUGUUUAUACCUCAUGAUAUGUGAAAAAAGUUCUAUUGUAGAAUAAAAAUUUCUAUGAAAAAAUAUUUCCAUUGCACUUUUAAAUUCCUAUUUAAGUACGAAAAUAAAUAGAACUGACAAUCACUACAAAGCACUAAACAGAUUAGAAUUCCUUUUCACUGAAACAAACAACUAAAAAAUAUCGGUUUUGCCAAAAAAUGACAGUAUUUUAUGUACAUAAGCGAAGUAUUUUAUAGCUUUUUGAAAAAUUGUUUAUGGAAAAUGGUGAUUCGAGUUAGGGCAGUUCAACAGUAUGUAUGUAUAUUGUACCUAUUAUUAUUUUUGCUUUUUAAAUGAUAUCCUCACCAAGAAUUUAUACGAUGGAUAGACAGGAUAAGGAAUCAAUUGUUAUAAGAAAUAGUGAGUGCAAUAUAAAAUAAUACAAUAUGUGACACACCUGACGUUGACGAUAUUCCAUAAUAGAAAUAGG